ensembl:piRNA 21ur-7845 ncRNA
UGUUUUUCCAAAUAUAUCGUU